ensembl:lncRNA
ACAACAUCACCCAGGACACACCGGAACUACAGAUGGACACACCGGAACUACAGAUGGACACACCGGACCUACAGAUGGACACAGUGCUGCACAAACAGUAUACAGAUCAUCAUCAUCAUCAUCAUCCGUACAUCUCUUAGAGGGCCAGUUCAAUGGCAAACACGCAAACACACAGUCAACAGUCUCUCGUCUCUCUGUGGUCGGCUGGCGUGUGUUCAGUUUCUUCUUGGCUGGUGUGUGUGUCCAGUGUCUGUGCUGGGCUGGUGUGUGUGUCCAGCGUCUGUGCUGGGCUGGGCUGGGCUGGUGUGUGUAUUGAGUCUUGGGUGUGCUCUGUCCCAUCAGAGUGUGUUGGCGGUCCGUGUGUGUCCUUCUACACAGCUCGCGCUUGUGGAGGAGGUGGUGUGGGGCUCUCAAGCGGGCCCUCGUCCGUGCGGAGGGGGUCCACACGGUGCUUGCGCUUCAGCCGGAGUUUCUUGGGCUUCUUCUUGGCCUGCUCAGCCACACCUGCACAGGGAGACAUGGGGCUCAGGUGUGUGUGUGUGUCUGUGUGUCUGUGUGUCUGUGUGUCUGUGUGUCUGUGUGUCUGUGUGUCUGUGUGUCUGUGUGUCUGUGUGUCUGUGUGUCUGUGUGUCUGUGUCUGUGUCUGUGUCUGUGUCUGUGUCUGUGUCUGUGUCUGUGUCUGUGUCUGUGUCUGGUGUGUGUCUGUGUGUGUGUCUGUCUGUGUGUGUCUGUCUGUGUGUGUGUCUGUCUGUGUGUCUGUGUGUGUGUGUGUGUCUGUGUGUGUGUGUCUGUGUGUGUGUUCAAUUGAGAAUGACACUAUCUAGCCAUCUAUCCACACUCGAUGGCAUCCCAACACCCAAUACUAGCAUCAAAAACCUUGGUGUAACUAUCAACCAAGACCUCCUAUUUGACUCACACAUAAAACAGAUCUCAAAGACAUCAUUUUUUCAUUUACGCAAUAUUGCCAAAAUUAGAAAAGUCCUAUCCCUCCAAGAUGCAGAAAAACUAAUCCACGCAUUUAUUACUUCCCGACUAGAUUACUGCAAUGCUCUCCUGUCCGGAUGCAGCAUCAACUCAAUAAAGAGCCUCCAACUUAUACAGAACGCUGCUGCCCGUACACUCACCAGAACUAAAAAAUAUGAGCACAUCUCACCUGUACUUGCCUCUCUGCAUUGGCUCCCUGUCAAAAGUAGAAUUGAUUUCAAAGUACUCCUGCUAACAUACAAAGCCCUAAAUGACCUGGCUCCAAACUACCUUAAGGAACUAGUUGUCCCCUACUGCCCCCUAAGACCGCUCCGUUCCCAGAGUGCAGGCCUCCUUGUAAUUCCAAGAAUAUCAAAAACCACAGUAGGAGGCAGAGCCUUUAGCUACCGAGCCCCCCUCCUCUGGAACAAUCUCCCUGCCUCCAUCCGAGAUGCAGACACCCUACCUAUAUUCAAAUCAAGACUAAAGACAUUCCUCUUUAGUGCAUCCUAUAGCCACAAGUAAUUGCGUCAACAAACCCAUCACCUGUUGGGCCAGCCAGUCAGCAAGCAUAACUAGACAUAACUGAACACAUAAGAAAAAAAAAAAAUGUAUAUCACUGGGCUACAGACAGCGUAUGUUGUACCCUGCAACCCUAACAAAGCUUACGACUAAAAUCUCCAUAUGUACCAAACCAAACUAAUUGCUAAAUGGCAGCAUAACUAAUGCUAAACCAAACUAAAUGCCAAACCAAACUAAAUGCUAAAUGCCAGAAUAGCUAAACACAUCUAAAACACAUGCAAUACCCCCCUAAUUCAACAUAACUGGGCUACAGACAGCGUAUGUUGUACCGUGAAGGAGUGCGGAAGAUCCCGGGUACAGCACACGGCGCGUAUUGCGACUGUCACCAGCCAACUAAAUACUAAAUAAAAUCCCCAUACAACCCA